UGGGGUGUGGCUCAGUGGGUAGAGUGCUUGCCUCGCAUGUAGGAAGCCCUGGGUUCCAUCAACAGUAGUGCAUGCCUGUAAACCCAGCACUCAG
rnacentral:tRNA from 1 species